rnacentral:rRNA from 1 species
AGCUCCCCGAGUGGUAAGGACGAUUAUUGGGCCUAAAGCGUCCGUAGCUGGCUUGAUAAGUUUCCCGUUAAAUCCGACGAUCCAAUCGUCGGGCUGCGGGAAAUACUGUUAAGCUAGGAGGCGGGAGAGGCCGGCGGUACUUUUGGGGUAGGGGUGAAAUCCUAUAAUCCCAAGAGGACCACCAGUGGCGAAGGCGACCGGCCAGAACGCACUCGACGGUGAGGGACGAAAGCUGGGGGAGCAAACCGGAUUAGAUACCCGAGUAGUCC